AUACGGAGGGUGCGAGCGUUAAUCGGAAUUACUGGGCGUAAAGCGUACGUAGGCGGUUGGUUAAGUUAGAUGUGAAAGCCCCGGGCUUAACCUGGGAACUGCAUUUAAAACUGGCGAACUAGAGUUGAGUAGAGGGGAGUGGAAUUUCAGGUGUAGCGGUGAAAUGCGUAGAGAUCUGAAGGAACACCAGUGGCGAAGGCGACUCCCUGGACUCGAACUGACGCUGAGGUACGAAAGCGCGGGUAGCAAACGGGAUUAGAAACCCUAGUAGUCC
rnacentral:rRNA from 1 species